UUUAAACGAGGAUAACAUAUUUUUUUCGCUUGCUCCCCCAAACGCAAGUUUCAAUUGUGUCGCGUCAUUUUUGUUGGGGGCCGAGCGCGAAUUAAAUUUAUUUUUGAUUAGGAUUUGCAUUUCGUGAUUAAUUGGCACUGCCUGCUAUCGCGAUGCAGUAUUUGGCAUGAUACGGGGUUGCAUAAUGAGUGGAUGCCACCAGAGUAAAGUGUUAUUUUCGAGUUCAGCCCAGCUGAAAUUGUAUUGUUGGAUUGUUCGGACGUUCUCUCUUAUUGUGUCUUGGUUUACUGCUUCCUAAACGUCUCUAAACGGAUGCGACCAAUUGGAGAUUGAUGCAUGCAAUUAGACCCGAUUAAGUGCUUUUGAUUUUGUGCUUUUUUUUGUGUUUGAGUGCCUAACUGUUUCAUUCAUUUCAGUGCAGUUCUGUUUGUUAUCGCUUACAAAUGUUUAUGUAAAUGCAUGCCGUAAUUUGCACAUAUUUAGUGAUUCAUUAAUGCGCACGUAACGACAUGACCUUGCCCUGUGACGUAAGGCUAUUAAAGGGUAGUAUAAGUUUUCCUUAAUAUCUGCGUCAGUUUUCCUCUACGUGUGUAGACGUGUUGUAAUUAGCAAAUCUAUUAACUUCCCGGUCAUCUUUUUUAAGUUAUUUAGUUGUGCACCUUUUGUCGUAACAGCGGAGCACCAUUUCAGUAACUCAGUUUGUGCUUUCGGUGGGGCAUUGUCACUUAUCAGCACGAGCACCGUAUCCGCUUCCUUGGCCAACCUUUUUUACUUUUGAGUUCUGGGUUGCGUGCCAGAAGCGCGUUUACACUGGGCAUGUAGUGAAAUCUGUAAAUGCACUUUCUGGUACGACAUACCAGGACGUGCAAUCACACAUCUUUCUUUUUAUUAUUAGUUAUUGUGUACUCUUGGGCGUUUGUUAAUUAGUUAGUGUUGUGUAGUUUUAUUAUUGUUGUACUUUAAACAUGCAAUCUGUCUUAUCUUAUUGGAAAGUCUCGCGCUGUUCUAGAAUUAUGUUAAAUAUACUUCAUUGUUGCAUA